CCAAAUCUGACAUAAGUGAGAGUCUCUGCUUUAGGACAUGGUUGGUAUCAGACACAGUCUCCUCAGCUUGUUGCUGUUUGUGUUCUGGAUAAAAGGUCUAACUGAUGGAAGUGGUGUCCAGCAGACCGACAUACUGUGGGGGAAGAUGGGUGAAAAUGCAACAAUACACUGCAGCCACACAAAGGCAGCUGACUAUUUUGAGAUGUACUGGUACAGACAGCUGCCUGGAGAAAAUAUGAAGCUGAUCGUGUUCACAAGUACAGCCAAAGCAGAUCAUGACUUUGGAAAUUUCAGCAAAGAGAAAUUCUCAGCUAUCAAGACUGUAGCUGAUAGUGGGACGUUCACAGUGAAGAAUCUGCAGCCAGGAGAUAAAGGCUUGUAUUUCUGUGCUGUGAGUAAACACAGUGAUACAGACGCAUUUAAUAGCUCAACAAAAACCUCCUCUGCUCUGUUCCCGUUUGUAUUUAUCAGCUCAGCUGUAGAGGGACCUCAAGUACAACCACAGUAAUGUGACACUCCCACAUCUUCAUCUCUCUGUAAUAUCAGACCUCCCCUCACACAUUCU